AUUGAACGCUGGCGGAAUGCUUUACACAUGCAAGUCGAACGGCAGCACGGGGGCAGCCCUGGUGGCGAGUGGCGAACGGGUGAGUAAUACAUCGGAACGUGCCCGGUCGUGGGGGAUAACGUAGCGAAAGUUACGCUAAUACCGCAUACGAUCUGAGGAUGAAAGCGGGGGACCUUCGGGCCUCGCGCGAUCGGAGCGGCCGAUGUCAGAUUAGGUAGUUGGUGGGGUAAAGGCCUACCAAGCCGACGAUCUGUAGCUGGUCUGAGAGGACGACCAGCCACACUGGGACUGAGACACGGCCCAGACUCCUACGGAAGGCAGCAGUGGGGAAUUUUGGACAAUGGGCGCAAGCCUGAUCCAGCCAUUCCGCGUGCAGGACGAAGGCCUUCGGGUUGUAAACUGCUUUUGUACGGAACGAAAAGGCUCUGGCUAAUACCUGGGGCUCAUGACGGUACCGUAAGAAUAAGCACCGGCUAACUACGUG
rnacentral:rRNA from 1 species